ACCGAGAUUCCCCUAGUAGCGGCGAGCGAACGGGGACCAGCCCUUAAGCAACACAACUGGUAGGUGAGCAGACUGGGAAGUCUGGCCAUAGUGGGUGAUAGCCCCGUAACCGAAACCUGAGUGUUGUGAAAUCGAGUAGGUCGAGGCACGUGAAACCUUGACUGAAGACGGGGGGACCAUCCUCCAAGGCUAAAUACUCCUGACUGACCGAUAGUGAACCAGUACCGUGAGGGAAAGGCGAAAAGAACCCCGGAGAGGGGAGUGAAAUAGAUCCUGAAACCGUAUGCGUACAAGCAGUGGGAGCCAACUUGUUUGGUGACCGCGUACCUUUUGUAUAAUGGGUCAGCGACUUAUUUUCAGUGGCGAGCUUAACCGUAUAGGGGAGGCGUAGAGAAAUCGAGUCUUAACUGGGCGACCAGUCGCUGGAAAUAGACCCGAAACCGGGCGAUCUAUCCAUGAGCAGGUUGAAGGUUGAGUAACAUCAACUGGAGGACCGAACCAGGAUCUGUUGAAAAAGAUUUGGAUGACUUGUGGAUCGGAGUGAAAGGCUAAUCAAGCCCGGAGAUAGCUGGUUCUCCUCGAAAGCUAUUUAGGUAGCGCCUCACGUAUCACCGCCGGGGGUAGAGCACUGUUUCGGCUAGGGGGUCAUCCCGACUUACCAACCCGAGGCAAACUCCGAAUACCGGUGAGUGCAAGCGUGGGAGACACACAGCGGGUGCUAACGUCCGUUGUGAAAAGGGAAACAACCCAGACCGUCAGCUAAGGUCCCGAAAUCCUGGUUAAGUGGGAAACGAUGUGGGAAGGCUUAGACAGCUAGGAGGUUGGCUUAGAAGCAGCCAUCCUUUAAAGAAAGCGUAAUAGCUCACUAGUCGAGUCGGCCUGCGCGGAAGAUGUAACGGGGCUCAAACCAGGUACCGAAGCUACGGGUUCGCCGAAUGGCGAGCGGUAGAGGAGCGUCGUGUAAGCCGAUGAAGGUGUGUUGAGAAGCAUGCUGGAGGUAUCACGAGUGC
rnacentral:rRNA from 2 species